rnacentral:rRNA from 1 species
ACGGGUGAGUAACGCGUGGGAAUCUACCGUGCCCUGCGGAAUAGCUCCGGGAAACUGGAAUUAAUACCGCAUACGCCCUACGGGGGAAAGAUUUAUCGGGGUAUGAUGAGCCCGCGUUGGAUUAGCUAGUUGGUGGGGUAAAGGCCUACCAAGGCGACGAUCCAUAGCCGGUCUGAGAGGAUGAUCAGCCACAUUGGGACUGAGACACGGCCCAAACUCCUACGGGAGGCAGCAGUGGGGAAUAUUGGACAAUGGGCGCAAGCCUGAUCCAGCCAUGCCGCGUGAGUGAUGAAGGCCUUAGGGUUGUAAAGCUCUUUCACCGGAGAAGAUAAUGACGGUAUCCGGAGAAGAAGCCCCGGCUAACUUCGUGCCAGCAGCCGCGGUAAUACGAAGGGGGCUAGCGUUGUUCGGAAUUACUGGGCGUAAAGCGCACGUAGGCGGAUAUUUAAGUCAGGGGUGAAAUCCCAGAGCUCAACUCUGGAACUGCCUUUGAUACUGGGUAUCUUGAGUAUGGAAGAGGUAAGUGGAAUUCCGAGUGUAGAGGUGAAAUUCGUAGA